GCGGCGGACGGGUGAGUAAUGCUUAGGAAUCUGCCUAUUAGUGGGGGACAACGUUCCGAAAGGGACGCUAAUACCGCAUACGGUACCUACGGGAGAAAGCAGGGGUAUCUUCGGACCUUGCGCUAAUAGAUGAGCCUAAGUCGGAUUAGCUAGUUGGUGGGGUAAAGGCCUACCAAGGCGUACGAUCUGUAGCGGGUCUGAGAGGAUGAUCCGCCACACUGGGACUGAGACACGGCCCAGACUCCUACGGGAGGCAGCAGUGGGGAAUAUUGGACAAUGGGGGCAACCCUGAUCCAGCCAUGCCGCGUGUGUUGAAGAAGGCCUUUUGGUUGUAAAGCACUUUAAGCGAGGAGGAGGCUUACCUGGUUAAUACCCGGGAUAAGUUGGACGUUACUCGCAGAAUAAGCACCGGCUAACUCUGUGCCAGCAGCAGC
rnacentral:rRNA from 1 species